rnacentral:rRNA from 1 species
UUGGAGGGCAAGUCUGGUGCCAGCAGCCGCGGUAGUUCCAGCUCCAAUAGCGUAUAUUAAAGUUGUUGCAGUUAAAAAGCUCGUAGUUGAAUUUCGGGAUCAAUAUGUCGGUCGUGCUUUUGGUGUGUACUGGCAUCAUUGGUUUCUCCCUUCUGACAAACCAUGAUGUCAUUAAUUUGGUGUUAUGGGGAGUUAGGACUGUUACUUUGAAAAAAUUAGAGUGUUUAAAGCAGGCAUUAGCUUGAAUACAUUAGCAUGGAAUAAUGAAAUAGGACGUUUGACCCUACUUUGUUGGUUUCUAGGAUCGACGUAAUGAUUAAUAGGGAUAGUUGGGGGCAUUAGUAUUCAAUUGUCAGAGGUGAAAUUCUUGGAUUUAUUGAAGACUAACUACUGCGAAAGCAUUUGCCAAGGAUGUUUUCAUUAAUCAAGAACGAAAGUUAGGGGAUCGAAGACGAUCAGAUACCGUCGUAGUCUUAACCAUAAACUAUGCCGACUAGGGAUCGGAUGAUGUUAAUUUUUUAAUGACUCAUUCGGCGCCUUACGGGAAAC